AGUUUCUUUGCCUAACUCUGAGUUGCUUGAGUCACAUUUUUGCAUGGUUCUUGAUUGACUUUCUGGUGCUCUGCCUGGAGGUCUUUGCUUAUCUGUGAGUUGCCUGAGUCACAUUUUUACAUGGUUCUGGUGCUCUGCCUGCAGGUCAAGAAGGAGCCAGUAUCUCCAGGAGGAGUGAGAGAGUGCUCUGCCAGUGUGAAGUGUGAAUCCUUGAGAGGCUGUGGCAAGGGUCCAUGCCUGAAUGUGUAGAACAAGAACAGCUGGAGGCUGUGGCUUUCUCCAGGAAGAGGUUUCUAAAUCUGCCUCUUAGAAGAUAUCAGAAAGUUAAAGUUUCUCUUGCUGCCGCCGUGUAAGAAGGACCUUUUGCCUCCCACCAUGAUUCUAAGUCCUCCCCAGCCACGUGGAACUGUAAGUCCAAUUAUACCUCUUUUUCUUCCCAGUCUUGGGUAUGUCUUUAUCAGCAGUGUGAAAACAGACUAACAUAAUUUUGCAUUCUGCAACUUUACUGAAUUCAUUUAUCAGCUCUAAAAGUUUCCGGUAGAGUCUUUAGGUUAUUCUAUACAUACGAUCAUAUCUACAAACAG
rnacentral:lncRNA from 10 species